UCUCCUCCUCUCCUCUGGAUGUAUUGUCUUCUCUCUUCACGUACGAAACUUUAGCCAAACUUUCCAGACUUCAUUCAUAGAACUUUGGUAAGCUCCUGGAGGCUACCGCUGCUACUGGCACCGACUGCGCGUAACCCUGGAUGGCUCUGUGGGCUCCCUGCAAUCCCUGGCGCAGCAAUAUUCUCAGUACUACGGGACCUGUGUGAGCGACGUGAGCGACAGGAUGGAGGAGCUGCGCAAACGUAAAGUUCUGCAGGACACAGAGAUGGGUAAAGUGGAGUCUCUGUCCACCUCUCUGCAGCUGCGCUCUCAGAUCCAGGAAUCUCUGGGUUUGAGCAGCAACACGUCCACACCAGAGCUCGACAGAAGGUUUCCGGUGCACAAGUCCAGCUCUGAUGAUGGAUCAGGAGGGAAGACCGAGAAAAGGAGAAGCAAGUCUUUCUGGCAAAGCUUCCGGAAAUCUCAAAAAGGAACUCUGCGCCAUGUUUCAAAAGGAGAUGACGUGGGCUUUGUGGCGUCGGAGGUUACCAUGGGCGACGAGGAGAGGAUCCAGCUCAUGAUGAUGGUGAAGGAGAACAUGAUCUCUAUAGAAGAAGCUCUGGCCCGGCUGAAGGAGUUUGAGAGCCAGAGCAGAGUCACCUGUCGUUCUGAAGGCAUUGAGUGGGUGGAUCCUGUUUCCAGUGAACCCUUCAAUCCGUGUGACCUGUCCGAUUAUGAGGAGGACUCGGUCUCCUUCAGGGGUCUGCACAAACUGGUCCACUCCACUCGGAAAGUCAAGAAGAAGCUGAUCAGAUACGAGGAGAGCAGGAGACACGCAGGAGAAGACCCCCAGGCUCCCGACAGCUCCCCCUGUGGCAGUCCUUUAUACUCGGGGGUCCAGAAGAAGCCCCCUGUGGAGCAGCUGGCCUCUCUGCUGCAGGACCAGCUCACGUCUUCAGACAGGGACACAGACUCCAUCACGACGUCGCCCUCUUCAGGCAGCCUUGACACCUACACCCGGCCCAACUCCAGCCGCAGCCCCGUGAGCCAGCCAGGGGGCGCCGCGGAGCAGAGGCAGGAGAGGGGCGGGGCCGAGAGGGAGGCGCGUCCUGUCGAGAAGGGGGCGGGGCCGAAGUUGGCGCGGUCGGUCACAGACGGAGAGCUGACUCAGAGAUCGCUCAGUGCAGGAAGUUUACACGGGAGAGCCUGCAGUUUUGGAGGAUUUGAUCUGACGAGCCGCUCUCUAUACACAGUCUGCUCUGACGGAGAAAACACUGCCAAACCAGAGGAGAGCUCAGCGAGGGAGGGUCUGAAGUCUCCUCCAACGACUCGAAUUUCUUUGGGGAAAAAAGUGAAAUCUGUGAGAGACACGAUGAGGAAACACAUCUCCAGAAGAUACACGUCCUCCCUGUCUGAACACUGUAGUCCAGAGCGGGGGCCCAGCUCUCCUCACUCCCCCCACACAGACUCUGAUUCUCUGGACAAACCUCGUCUGAAGCCCGGGGGGUCUGUGGAGAGUCUGAGGAGCUCUCUCAGCGGACACAGCUCCAUGAGCGGGCAGACGGUGGGCACCACAGACUCGUCCCACAGUAACAGAGAGAGUGUGAAGAGCGAGGAUGGAGAGGAAGAGGAGCCCCCGUACAAAGGACCCUUCUGUGGACGAGCCCUGGUUCAUACAGACUUCACCCCCAGCCCCUACGACUCCGACUCACUCAAACUCAAGAGUGGAGAUGUGAUCGACAUCAUCAGUAAGCCUCCGAUGGGCACGUGGAUGGGCAUGCUGAAUGGGAAAGUGGGCACGUUUAAGUUCAUUUAUGUGGACGUGAUCAACGAAGAGGCGCCCAAACCCAAGAAAACACGAAGGAGGAGGAGAGCGCCACAACCCAAACCCACGUCUGUGGAAGAGCUGCUGGAACGGAUCAACCUCAAGGAGCACCUGCCCACCUUCCUGUUUAACGGCUACGAGGACCUGGACACGUUUAAACUUCUGGAGGAGGAGGAUCUGGAUGAACUGAACAUCAGAGACGGUCAACACAGAGCAGUGCUGCUGACGGCCGUGGAACUACUGCAGGAGUACGACGGCAGCAGUGACCCGGAGCGCGGCAGCCCCUCAGGGUUAGGUCCACCCCAGGACAAACUUCUGCUGCAGAGACGAGGACUGAUGGGAGACUCCCCCAGAGACUCAGGCUGCUACGAGAGCAAUGAAAACCUCGACCAGAGCCAAGAGGGGACCGGCCCCUGACCCGACCCAACCCCAAACCAUCUCCACGGACUGAGAGAUUUUAACUUUGGAACAAGAUUUUAAUCAUUCACAAGGCUCAUUUGCAAGUUGGUUUUACUUGGUUUUACUGUGGGGGUUUGCAGUUGCUUUUGUGACUUUACUGCUUGAGAAUUGAUGGAAAAGAAGACGACAAAGGACCAGUUCACAAGAAAUAAGAACUGAAGUUAAAAAAAAAAAAAAAAAGAGGGGUAUUAUGCAAAAAUCUGUUUUAAUUUUUUUGUCUUUCUACCAUGUUUCUACCAUUGUUCCUUCAUCAAAAACAUGUCUGAAGAGGUUUUAGAGGAUCAUCCAUAUGUGUUUACAUGAGAGCAAAAGGGGAGGGGGGCUCAGAGCAUGAAAAACGAAAGUGAAACUAAAACAUGUCACGUUGUUUUUGGUGAUUAUUUUCAUAAAAGGUAAUAUGGUGAUCUUAUUUAUGUUAUGUGUUACAGUUAAUGCUCCAUACAAGUGUAAUACUCCCUCUUUAACUCAUUGGACUUGUUCAUUUGAACAUUUCUAAACGGGACUGACAUUUAACUGAGGUUCAUGUUGUUUUCACAUGAAGGCGUGUUUUAUUUAAAGUUGUAGUGAUUUUUGUUUUGAAAUCUAUUUGAACUCUCAUCAUUUCACAAACAAGUACCACCUCCAAACAAUAUGGCAUUUGAGGUCUCUCUUUAAGACUGAAACAGGACUAAAUCAGGACUGAACCAGGACUAAACCAGGUCUAAAUCAGGACCAAAACUGGAGCUAAACCUGAAAAGAGACCAGGACUGAAACAGGACUGAAACAGGACUGAAACAGGGCUUAACCAGGACUAAACCAGGACUAAGGUGAACGGAGCGAGGACUGAACCAAGACUGAAAUAGGAUCAAAUUGGAUCUAAACCUGGAAAGAGACCAAGACUUAACCGUGCCUAAACCAGGAUUAAACGAGGACUCAACUCAUACUUAACCAGGACUUAACCUGGACUCAAUUUGAACCAAACGAAGACUGAAUUAUACAUAGUUACAACCUGGACUACCAUAGCAGUAUGAAGACUACGACUCAACCAGGACUCAACCAGGACUCAACCAGGUCUUAACCAGGUCUUAACCAGGUCUUAACCAGGUCUUAAACAGGUCUUAACCAGGUCUUAACCAGGACUUAAACAGGACUACAAUUGCAGUAUGAAGACUGCAACUAAACCAGGACUAAACCAGGUCUUAAUCAGGAUAUAAACAGGACUACAAUUGGAGUGUGGACUACAACUAAACCAGGACUAAACCAGGACUCAAUCUGAACCAAACCAAGACUGAAGUAUAAAUGGUUAGAACCUGGACCCCAUAGCAGUAUGAGGACUACAAAUAAACCAGGACUAAACCAGGUCUUAAACCAGGUCUUAACCAGGUCUUAAACAGGUCUUAAACAGGUCUUAAACAGGUCUUAAACAGGUCUUAACCUGGACUACCAUCGCAGUAUGAGGACUACAACUAAACCAGGACUAAACCAGGACUAUACAGAGACUGGACCCGGUAAAGUCUAGUUAUAUAUUACAGACUGUACCAAGACUGUAUCUGGACUAAACCAGGACUUCAGCAGCACUAAAACUUCUACUCACCUUUGACUUUUUAAUGUUACAUUCCCUAAACUGAUAAAGGUACGUUUUCAGAAGAAUUAUUCCAGAGUUAUUGAUAAUUGUGAUAUUUAUUAUUAUAUUUAAAGAAUAAACCAGAUCUUAAUCAGGACAGAAACUGUACCAGACUCAUCCAAAUGUUUCAGAGGUGAAAAUAUAACACUGUUUCCAUAGCAAUUAACAAUUCAACACAAAAAAAUGACCCAUAACCUUAAAGAGGAAGUUAAAAUACAGGACCAGGACUAAACCAGAACCAAACCAGGACUAAACCAGGACUAAACCAGGACCAAACCGAAACCAAACCAGGAUUAAAAGAGGAUCAAACUAGGACAAAACAGGACAAAACUAGGACCAAACUAUGAUUAAACCAGGACCAAACCAGGACUAAAACAAGAUUAAAACAGGACCAAACAAGGACUAAACCAGGACUAAACCAUGACUAAACCAGGACUAAACCAGGACUAAAUCAGGACUAAACCAGGACUAAACCAGGACUAAACCAGGACUAAACCAGGACUAAACCAGGACUAAACCAGGACUAGAGAACCUGUAAACUACCUAGUCCUUUGUUUCUGAACCAGCAGUGACACUGACAGUAGCUCUUUCUCUUCGUCGUUGUUUUGGGUUGACUUGAGUUCACACAGUUGCAUUUUGUACAUAAGUUUGUGAAUGUUUUUCAGAUUGUACAGUGUCAUUUCCUCUUUUAUUUGUGUAUAUUUUUAAAGUAACGUUGCACAGAAUUUGAUCAUGUGCCUGAAAGCUGCGCCGUGCACACAAAGACUAAAAAAUGUUCAAAUUAUUGUUGAAAAAAGUUCAUUUCAAAUGCACUAAAACUGGAAGAGUUGAACAGAGAGACGUGGGCAGGUCAUUUUCACAAUCACAAGCAAUAAUAAUUACAUUUAAAGCUUUGGACACAACAGAAUUCUUUGAUUUCAUGAUGAUUUCAGUUUCGCAAAAAGGCACACACCAAUCAGCCAAAACAUUAUGACACUAAACUGACUGAAACCUGGCCUCUAGUCUAGUCCAAACCAGGUCUAAACCAGGUCCAAACCAGGUCUAAACCAGGCCUGAAACCAGGCCUGAAACCAGGACUAAACCAGGACUAAACCAGGUCUAAACCAGCUCUAAACUAGGACUAAACCAGGUCUAAACCAGGACUAAACCAGGACUAAACCACCCCUGAUUGAUACUGACCACUGUAGACUAGGGACACUCCAAAAGAAUUGGUUUAAUCCUAGUUUAGACCUGAUUUAGAGCUGGUUUAGAGCAAGUCCAAACAAAAGUUGGUCAUAAUGUUAUCGCUAAACCUCUGACUAAAGGUCAGGUGGAGUUAGUCCAGCUCUAAACCAGGACUAACUCUGACCAGGACUAAAGCAGGUUUAACCCAGGACUGAACCAGGACUGAACCAAGACUGAACCAGGAUUAAUCUAAACCAGUUCUAAUCCAUGACUAAACAAGGUCUAAACCUGAUCUAAAUUGGUCAUAAUUUUAUGGCUAAACCUUUGACUAACCCAGAGCUAAACCAGGACUAACCCUGGCCAGGAUCAAAGCAGGUUUAAUCUGGGACUAAACCAGGACUGAACCAGGUCUAACCCUGAUCUACGUUGGUCGUAAUGUUGUGGCUGAUCAAUAUUACAGACAGAUGUUUCAUAUAAACGUUUCAGUGUGUGUUCAGGUGUGUUCAGGUGUGUUCAGGUGUGUGUGUAGCAGGUGUAUCAGUGUCUUCAUCUGAACACACGUCUGUUUCUCACAUUCAACUUUCAGUGUUUCUUUUUUGUGGCUGAGCUUAAUUAAUA